AUGGCUGUCGUCAGCUCGUGUCGUGAGAUGUUGGGUUAAGUCCCGUAACGAGCGCAACCCUUGUCCUUAUUUGCCAGCGGAUAAUGCCGGGAACUUUAGGGAGACUGCCGGUGACAAACCGGAGGAAGGUGGGGACGACGUCAAGUCAUCAUGGCCCUUAUGAGUAGGGCUACACACGUGCUACAAUGGUCGGUACAGAGGGCAGCGAAGCCGCGAGGUGGAGCGAAUCUCACAAAACCGAUCGUAGUCCGGAUUGCAGUCUGCAACUCGACUGCAUGAAGCUGGAAUCGCUAGUAAUCGCGGAUCAGAAUGCCGCGGUGAAUACGUUCCCGGGCCUUGUACACACCGCCCGUCACACCAUGGGAGUGGGCUGUACCAGAAGUAGGUAGUCUAACCUUCGGGAGGACGCUUACCACGGUGUGGUUCAUGACUGGGGUGAAGUCGUAACAAGGUAGCCCUAGGGGAACCUGGGGCUGGAUCACCUCCUUAAAAGCAAUCGGUACGACGUAAGAGCGUCCACACAAUCUGCCUGUUUAUAUCCGUGACCGCGGGUCUGUAGCUCAGUUGGUUAGAGCGCACCCCUGAUAAGGGUGAGGUCGGAAGUUCAACUCUUCCCAGACCCACCAAAUUCCGUAGCAGGAAAUUCGGGGCCAUAGCUCAGCUGGGAGAGCACCUGCUUUGCAAGCAGGGGGUCGGCGGUUCGAUCCCGCCUGGCUCCACCAGGUGAUAAACAACAGUAUCAUAAGAUAUUGCUGUUUAUCCCUUGAUCAGCAACGGUCGGGAACGUUCUUUAAAAAUUAGGGUAGUGAUAUACGACGGUGAAGUGAAAUCCCCUCGGGGAGGAAACUUUACUGGGUAUACCAGCAUUUACUAGUAAGUUCGAUCCCAAGAAGUUCAGUCUUCUUGGGGUUAUAUGAUCAAGCGAAUAAGCGCGCAUGGUGGAUGCCUAGGUGGUAAGAGGCGAUGAAGGACGUAGUAGCUUGCGAUAAGCCUCGGGGAGCCAGCAAACAGGCUUUGAACCGAGGAUUUCCGAAUGGGGAAACCCGG
rnacentral:sRNA from 1 species